rnacentral:snoRNA from 1 species
UCUCAAUGAUGAAACCUUUGUCCAGUUCUGCUACUGAUUUGACUUGUUGAUAAAGUAUUGUCUGAGGA